AUGCUCGCUUCAACAGCACAUAUACUAAAGUUGGAAAUGAUACAGAGAUGAGCAUGGCCCUUGCUCAAGGAUGACACGCAAAUUUGUGAAGCGUUGCAUAAUUUU